UAGGGACCUCGUACAUCUUCAGUUUAUUACCAGUCAGUUCUCCAGGCAUGGCAGGUCCUCUCUGUGCACAGGGACAACGGAGGCACACCUGGGAUGUGGCUGUUUGAGGAACCUCUUUUCUUCAGUGACUUUGUUAGCUCCCCUGGGUUUUCAUAUGC